rnacentral:rRNA from 1 species
UACGAAGGGGGCUAGCGUUGUUCGGAAUUACUGGGCGUAAAGCGCACGUAGGCGGACAUUUAAGUCAGGGGUGAAAUCCCGGAGCUCAACUCCGGAACUGCCUUUGAUACUGGGUGUCUUGAGUGUGGAAGAGGUGAGUGGAAUUCCGAGUGUAGAGGUGAAAUUCGUAGAUAUUCGGAGGAACACCAGUGGCGAAGGCGGCUCACUGGUCCAUUACUGACGCUGAGGUGCGAAAGCGUGGGGAGCAAACAGGG